GGGCGGGGGCCGUGCAAAUUGGGGGGGGUCGGUGCAAAUUAGGGGGGGGUCGGUGCAAAUCGUGCGGGGUCCCGGCGGGUUGUGUGGGGUCGGGGCAAACCGCCUGGGGUCGCCGCGAAGCACGUGGGGUCGGUGCAAAGCACGUGGGGGGGGGGGGGGGGGCUGCGAAUUUUGGGGGGUGGGCGCCGAGCACGUGGAGCCCCGGCCGAUGGUGUGGGGUCGGCGCGGAUGGUGGGGGGGGUGGGGGGGCGCUGCAAAUUUUGUGGGGUCGCCGCAAGGUGCCUGGGGCCGGGCAAGGCCCCGUUGGGGGGGGACAAGGGGGGGGCACACACUCGGGCAGGUCGCUGCAAAGUUGCAGUGAGGGGGCUCAACCCCCCCCCUAAAGCCGCCCCCUACCCUUAAAACUCCUCAAAUCGCCCCCUGCCCCUAAAAGCACCCCCCCAGCCCAUGCCUGCAGGGGGGGGCCCGAAAUGGCGCUGCUGUGCCCGGGGUUUUAUUGCAGCCCGCGGGAGGGGGGGGUGGGGGGGGGGCUUCACAAAGCUGCGCUGUUGCCCUUCCUGCCUCUUUUCUUUCUCCCCCACCUCCCUCCUUCCUUUCUUUUAUCACUUCCUUUUAUUAUGCAUGCCCAGGAAGGAAGGGGGGUGGUCUGCCCUUAAUAGCAAGGGGAAGGGGAAGGGAGGGCUGCUUUGAAGCCCCCACCCCCCCCCAACCGGAGGAGCCUCGGCCCUAAGCCCCCAUCCCCGAGGCUCCCCAACUUGUGCCCCCCCCAGCCCCGGGCUGGGUUUCCUGGGUGUGAGGAGAUUUUUUUGGGGGAAGGGGGCAGAUCUGAGGCACCGCCAACACCACCUCGGUUCUCUUCCCCCCCCCCCCUUUUCGGGUUGGGUUGUUUAAUCUGGGAGUGGGUGGCGGGCGCGGGGGAUUUAUGGGGCUGUUUGCACGGGGGGGGCAGGUUGUGGCUUUUGCAAGCCGAGCGUGGCUUGUGCAAGAGGUGGCUGCCAGCAGCACCCCCCCACGGCGGCUCCCGACCCACGGGGACGGCCGAGGAAGGGGUUUUCCCCCCCCCCAGCACCCCCUGACCCUAAGGAGUGCCCUCCGCCGGGAUUUCUCCCCGCCAGCCCACAGGAGCCCGGCAGCUCCCUGCUCGUGGUUCCCCCCGCCAUGAAAAGGGGAAAAGGGGUUUUUUUUGUGUGUUUUUUUUUUUUGUUUUUUUUUUUUCCCUCUCUCCCUCAGCUGCUUCCUUCCCUCCAUGGCAACCCAGCUGCUGCCUCCGAUCCCACUCAGAGGCGCGGGGCCGAGCUCCGAGGUGGGGACGGGGACGGCAGCGAUGGGGACGGGGACACGGGGUGGCACCCACGGGUGGCACCAUGGGCAGCCCCAUAUCCCACCCGCAUCGCUCACACAGCACCGUGGCCACCAGGGGUUGCCCGAUGGGGCCAGGACCCCCGAGCAGGGCAGCUGAGGGACCCCCAGGAGUGGGUACGGCACGGCCGGGGGGCUGCGUUCCCUCUGCCAAAGAUUGACUAAAAAGAGGGGAAAAAAAAAAAAAAAAAAAAAAAAGGAUAAAUACUUCUCAGCCCACCAGUAUUUUCUUCCCUAAACCUUAUAUAUAUAUAUAUAUAUUUUUUUAAGUGCUCCUUGAAGUGCUCAGGGAUGCUGUGAGUAAUAUUUUUGGGGUGUUUACAUGACAGCACGCACGGUUUCUGUCUCCCCCCCCCUAAAAAAAAUAAUCUGCGGGUGGUUUUUGUUGUUGCUUUGCACUCGUGAGUCACUUUCAGAGGGGCCUGGAAGGUCUCAGCGUGGUGGGGGCUCCAGACACUGCUGUGGGGUCGGGGUCCCCAUGGGGAUCGGGGCCCCCCGUGGGUCCCUCCCGCAGCCCCAGCAGCGGGGGGGCAGCAGCGCCGUGCCCCCUGGCUGAAGUUUACCCAAACUGGAAGCAGUUGCUAAAGGCUGGGGGUGGUUAAAGCCUUGUUAUAGGGCCGGUGCCUUUGGCUGCACGAAACCCACCAGGAAAAGCCUCCUGGGGUCCGCAGCCCUUUGGGGACGCAGAUCGGACCCCAAGGGGAUGGGAUCGGCCCCGUUCCUGCCAGGGUCCCUGCUCUGCACCCGGCUGAUCCCGGCCCCGAGCCCGUCCUGGGCUGGGAGCAGGGUGUGGAGCGCGGCGGCCCCACAGCUCCGGCCCAGCAGGUUUUCCCUACGCCCCCGGGAAGCACCAGGGUGGAGAGGGGAAGAUGGAGCCCGCUCCUCCACGGGAUGUUCCCCAUCAGGCAGGAAAGCCACACAGCCCUCCGGGACACACACACGGGGAGGGGACAGCCUGGUGUCCCUCGGUGUCCCUAAAUCCAGCCAGGGUGGCCGGAGCGGGGUGCAGCCCCCAUUCUGGGCGCAGCGGUGCCCAGGUGGGAGCCGCAGGGAUGUGGGAGCUUGGCAGGGCCCUUCCCGGCGUGCCCCAAAUGCUGGGGGUGAGCGAGACCCAGCCCAGCUCCCCCGGCACCCCCGGACCCCCCCGGGGAUCCCUGCGGGCCCCCGGGGCCGUGCCACCACCCCUCGUCCUGUCCCAACUUGCCGGUGCCGGCAGCGUGUCUGGGAUUUCAAGGGCUCCCGAUUAAAUCUGGAGCCGCUCUCCUCCUCUUGGCAGAAGGGGAGCUGGGGGGGGAAUUGCUCCGUGGGUCGGGCCCCGUGGGAAGGGCUGGCAGAGCCGCCGCUCCCCAAAAACCUCCCGGGGCGGUGGGGGCACCUGGCUAACUCAGCGGGGUUUCUGUGCCGCGGGGCGAGGCUGGGCCCCUGCCCCACAGCCCCGAUCCCAUUGCUCCUGGCAUGGGAAGGGAAGGGAGCGAGGCUGCACCCCGACAGGAUUUGGGGGCUGCGCCUCAAAGCCAGCCCCGGGGAUGGGCAGGGAACGGGGGUGCUCCGGGAGGGGUCCCCAGGGAGGGGCUGGGCACCCACGGGCUCCCGGAGAAGCACCCAAAGGGGGGUCCUGGGGGUGGGAGAGCGGGGAGCACCCGGAGGCUUCACCCCCUGCAUCAGUGCAUGGGGUGGCGAGGGGCUCCUGCAGCCCCCCCCCAGUGCCCGUGUGGGUGCCGGGGGUCUGUGGGUGCCGGGGGUCUGUGGGUGUCAGGCACCCAUGGGUGCCAGGGGGGAUGGUUUGGCACAGGGCGGGUGCCACGGUGCGGCUGAAAUUUGGAGCUCAAAAUUUUGAGUUACCAACUAGUGGGGGGGGGACUCUUUUAGAGGUGGGGGUCUCCUCCCAGCACGGCCCCUGGUGAUGCUCCUGCUUCCCCCCCCCCCCCUCACCCUGCCGAACCCCUGCAGCCCCCCCCGGUGCCGGCCGGACCCCUCUCCGUGCAGGACGGGUCAGAGCUGCACAUUUGGGCUGGUAUUUAACUCCUGGGGGGGCUUCCAGCAGCUCCAAACCGGGGGCACCCCAUCCCUCACCCCCCACCGGCCACCCCGACCCCACGGCGGGGGGCGAGCCCCCUGCCCACCCUGAGCCCCCCUGCAGGCAGCUGUGGGGCUGUGACCCCCGGGGAGGCUCCGUGGGCUCCGCUCGUCCCUCGCAGCCCCCCGCCAAGGACGAUGAGCGAAGCCGGCGCCAAGUCCAGCCAGGCCCUGGCCUCCAAGGGGGAGAAGGACGCCUCGGAAAAGAGGGGCCGGGGGCGGCCCAGGAAGAAGCCGCAGCAGGAACCCAGCGAAGCCCCGACCCCCAAGAGACCCCGCGGCCGGCCGAAGGGCAGUAAAAACAAGGCCACCCCAAAAGGCAGGAAAGCUGCAGUCACACCAGGGAGAAAACCUCGAGGCCGACC